GGUAAUACGGGAGGGGCAAGCGUUAUCUGGAAUGACUGGGCGUAAAGUGUCCGUAGACUGUAAUGUAAGUUAAUUGUCAAAUUUUAAAGCCUAACUUUAAAACAGCAAUUAAUACUGCUUUACUUGAGUAUGAUACAGAAGAGUGGAAUUUUAUAUGAAGGGAUAACACCCGUAGAUAUAUAAAGGAACUCCAUUAGCGAAGGCGACUCUUUAGUACACACUGACGUUGAGGGACGAAAGUAUAGGGAGCAAACAGGAUUAGAUAACCUGGUAGUCUAUACUGUAAAUUCUGAGUGCUGUGAUUUAACUUGUGUAAAACACAAUGAUUUAGAUCUUCUAAGCUAACGCCAUAAGCACUCCGCCUGAGGAGUACGAUCGCAAGAUUGAAACUCAAAGGA
rnacentral:rRNA from 1 species